rnacentral:rRNA from 1 species
GACAGAGGGGGCAAGCGUUGCUCGGAAUCACUGGGCGUAAAGGGCGCGUAGGCGGGAUGGCAAGUCAGUCGUGAAAUCUCUCGGCUCAACCGAGAAACGUCGGCUGAUACUGCCGUUCUUGAGGGAUGCAGAGGAGACUGGAAUUCCCGGUGUAGCGGUGAAAUGUGUAGAGAUCGGGAGGAACACCGGUGGCGAAGGCGGGUCACUGGACCGGAACUGACGCUGAGGCGCGAAAGCGUGGGGAGCAAACAGG